rnacentral:tRNA from 1 species
GUCGGGAUAGCUCAGUUGGUAGAGCANAGGACUGAAAAUC